AAUCAUAUGAGUGGAGCGAAGCCCCAAAGGAGAGCUCCUAUUGGUUUAACCUGAGGCCUCGCCCAUCUGGGAAAUUAUUUAUGCAUGCACCUGUAGCCAGUGAGAGUACACACUGUAAAAAAUGACCCUGUCAUGCCCUGACCAUGGAGAGCCCUUGGUUCUCUAUGGUAUAGUAGGUCAGGGCGUGACUAGGGGGUGUUCUAGGUUUAUUAUUUCUAUGUUGGUGCUCUUGGUUUAGUUCCCAAUUAGAGGCAGCUGAGGUUCGUUGUCUCUAAUUGGGGAUCAUACUUAAGCGUUCCCUGUCUCCACCUGCUUUGUGGGAUAUUGUUUUGAGUUAGUGCAUGUUGCACCGCUAAUGCUUCGUUGUUUGUUUCUUUUUGUUUCGCUUAAAUAAAUAUGUGGGACUUUAAUCACGCUGCGCCUUGGUCCGUCGCUCCACACAUCUGUGACAGAAUAUCCCACCAACAAAGGACCAAGCAGCGUGAAACAUGAGGAAGUUUUGGACUUGGGAGGACAUGAGAGGAUGCAAAACCCUUCAUUGGCGGAAGACGGAAGAAAAAAAUGGAGGACAGUGACGACGCCAGGGUUCGCGCCCACAGAAAGCUCAAGGACAAUCCCAAUAUUUUUUUGGGGGGGAGGCACGAAGAGUGGUCGGUGGAGCAAGCGGUCGAGCAGCGCAGAAUGCCAGAGCCUGUGUGGGAGUCGAUAGAGUAAUUUAUUGAGAGAUACCGGAGAGAGGUUUUGGCAAGGAGUAUUCUGAAGCGCAGGGGCGCUGAAGAGCGCGAGGGGCACUGAAGAGCGCCUUCUCAGCCCUGUACCAUCUGUGCCAGCUCCAUGCACCAGACCACCAGUGCACCUCCCCAGCCCGGUAAAUCCUGUGCCUGCUCCCUGCACUCGCACUGAAGAGCCAGAGACUGUCAGGGAGGCUAUGGAGAAGUUAGGAAAGAGAGAGAUGUUGUGCAAGUGUGUUCUGCUCAACAUCCGACCAGAGGAUCCGGUUAGCAGUCUGGUGCAACGUGGGCCGGCUCCACGCUUCUGGCUUCCAGAACGCCUUCCCAGACCGGUGCUACGUGUCCCCAGUCCGGUACGUCCUGUGCCUGCUCCCCGCACUCGCCCUGAAGAACGUGUCACCAGUCCGGAGCAACCUGAACCGUUCCCACGCAUCAAACAUAUAACAUUAGUUCUGUCACUGAUUACAAACCUUCUGAUGAGAGUGAGUCAGGCUACCUGUGACUGCAGGCAGUAGCCGUCUACAGCAGCUGUGUGUGAGGCUGAGGAAGAGACUACUACCACAGCGACCCCAGCUACUUCUCAGCAAACCAAGCUUGGCUUACAUCUGGAUUAUUAUUGAAUGCUAAUGUCAUCAGGAAGUAUAAAAGAGAUAAGAAUGUCAUUGUUCAAGGCUGAGAUGACCUCAUAGGUAUUACACCUAUGUUGACUUAAUGUUUGCUGCUUGGCAAAGAUUUUACAUACCGACUUUGCAUAGCAUUGUAUGGAUGUUCUAUUUUGUUUGAAAGACAACGCCUAAGCUUGAUCACACUGAUAUUAGUUUCAUUUGUAUAUUAGUCAUGCAACUUCCUCAGCAUAUUGAAUUACUAUUGAUAAGUUGAGUAUAUGAUACGCAUUUGACGUACCAAUUAUAACUUAUUAUAACCAAUUAUAACGUCUCACUUAUUAAGAAGUUAUACAAUUAUUUUCAGGAUCCAUUAUUUAACUUCACGGCACCAGGUCCUAAAUUUAGUCCAAGUCUCUUUGCUCAGUCAGACCUCAUCCUGUCCUAUAGACUCCAUGACUCGUAUUUCAAGAGUAGAGGUGUUCAACUCUGGUGUCUCUGACCAAUUUAUUGUGCAACAAAGGCACAUUCUAGGGAACUAAUGAUGAAAAUUCUCUCUCUUUCGCUUUCUCUCCUUCAUCCCUUCAUCUCUUCCUCUUCUCCAUGGACCCAGUGUCCCAGAACUCGUCUCUGUCCUACUCCCAGGAGGUGUGUGGAGGAGGGGGGCAGCGCUCCCUGGUCUCAUCCCCAAGAGAGUGCUCUCCUUUGCCCUCUGUGGUGGGGUGCCAGAGACCCAGAGUGGACAGACAAGAUGGGGAUGAUGCCUCGAACCGACAGCGAGUGUGUAUUCCGGGGUUUGUGUGAGCUGCUGUGUGAGGCAUUGGUCCUGCUCAGAGACAUUGGUCUCGGACGACACCAGCCUGGAGAGGAUGGAGCUGGUACAUCACAACACCCCUCAAUAGGAACAUCUAUAUGAAUAUUUACUGAUCCACCGACACAGGUAGCAGACACAGGUAGCAGACACAAGGUGAAGACAAACAGACACAGGUAGUAGACACAGGUAGAGGACAUAGGUAGCAGACACAGGUAGUAGACACAAGGUGAAGACAAACAGAUACAGGUAGUAGACACAGGUAGAGGACAUAGGUAGCAGACACAGGUAGUAGACACAAGGUGAAGACAAACAGACACAGGUAGUAGACACAAGGUGAAGACAAACAGACAAAGGUAGUAGACACAAGGUGAAGACAAACAGACACAGACACAUCAUUACUCUGGUCUCUUAUGCCUCCAUUCCUGAUUCUUCAUGGUUCACAUGUUAUUGUAAAUUUGACAUCAAUCCACUGUAUUUUAUAAAGCCCUUUUAACAUCAGCAGUUAUAGAUACCCAGCCUAAAACCCAACGAGCAAGCAUUGCUGAUGUAGAAGCCAUUCUGUCAUUCUGCAACAUCCACGAUAAUGCUGCUCUCUCUCUCUGUCUGUGUGUGUGUGUGUGUGUGUGUGUGUGUGUGUGCGCGCGCUGUGGGGUCACCUUCCGCCCUCUCCCCUCGCACUCUCCUUCCUCCCUCUGCUACGUGUGUGUGUGUGUUUGUGUGUGUGUGUGCGCACUGUGAGGUCACACGACACACUCAUACACCGCUUGUGACAUGUAGAGUCAUUUGUCAUGAGUAUCCUGUUCAUUCGGUUUCUGCCGGUUUCUCUGUAGGGACUGUACUCUUGUCAAGCCAAGACCCUCCUGCAGUAGCAGGUUAAUACACGCCCUGAGCAUCGCAUCUCUCCAAGCUGUUCUGUCAUCUUUAACUAGCUUGCUGUGCCACUGCCAGGCCUCUUCAGGACUCUCCUGUAAAACCGUAUUUAGUCUGGCCUGGCAGUGGGAGGGGUAUCUGCUGCCCUCUGGUGGUAAAUGGGCGCUAUUGUCUGCUUCUGUCUUAGAGGGAGAGGGGUCCAUCGUUGAUGAUUGAUGUUGAUUGGUGUUUAUGUUUUUUUUCUGAUGUUUACUUUCCUGAGAGCUCAUUGGUCCACCACAGACUGGCCUACGUAGACACCGCCAUAUUCACCAUCAGACUGCUGCACACCAUCCUGCCCCUGGAGAAGGUGUGUGUUUGCCUCUACAGGUGACUGAGGUGACCUGCUCCAAUCCCACACAAUGCUUAUGUAGAAGUCUCCCAUCCCUGUUUUUUAGUGCACAUUGUUAAUCUAAUCAGUCUUCACAAAGAUGAACUGGGAGAGAAGAACUGGUUUGGGUUAUUGGAGCUGGCAGACCAAGUCAUAGAUGACCUUCCAUAGCGCUAACACCUGCCUGUCGUCAGGGAAUGCUCAUUACUUCUGGACGUUUGAGCAGGCCAGUCCACUGCUUCAGACAGAGAGCCAGAAGAUCUUAUCGCAGCUCCUGUCCCAUCCUCUCCUCCCUGUCAAGACAGAGACCUACACCUGCCCUCUCAAUGUAGUCAAGAACAUGGCCAAGCCUGUGUCGUCAGUCUGUGGUGGGGUUCACUUCCUCCUUCACCCCAAAUUCCUCUGUCAGAUCAGCGCCUUCGAUCUUCAGGACCCAGCUGGGGAGGGUGUGUGUGUGUGUGUGUGUUUGUGCACGCGUGAGUCUGCAUGUAUUCUGUAGAUAUGGUUCCAGAUAUACACUCAGUAUUUUUAUUUUUAUUUUAUUUUUUUACCUUUAUUUAACUAGGCAAGUCAGUUAAGAACAAAUUCUUAUUUUCAAUGAUGGCCUAGGAACAGUGGGUUAACUGCCGGUUCAGGGGCAGAACGACAGAUUUGUACCUUGUCAGCUCGGGGGUUUGAACUUGCAACCUUCCGGUUACUAGACCAACGCUCUAACCACUAGGCUACCCUGCCGCCCCAGGGGAACACCUUCCCUCAGAACAGCCUCAGUUCAUGGAGCACGGACUAUACAUGGUGUGGAAAGCGUUCCACAGGGAUGCCGGCCCAUGUUGUGUCAAGUUGGCUAGAUGUCCUUUGGGUGGUGGACCAUUCUUGAUACACACAGGAAACUGUUGAGCGUGGAAAAACCCAGCAGCAUUUCUGUUCUUGACACAAACCGGUAUCUACAUAUUUUGUCUUGCCAAUUUACCCUCUGAAUGGCACAAAUACACAAUUCAUGUCUCAUGGCUUAACGAUCCUUCUCCUCCCCUUCAUCUACACUCAUUGAAGGGGAUUUAAUAAUGUAUCAUCACUUUCAGCUGGAUUCACCUGGUCAGUCUGUCAUGGAAAUGUUUUGUUUACUCACCCACUUUAAAUGGUCGUUAUUGUAAAACAACAUUUCUUCUAGACGGUUUACGUGGCUAAAUAACGUCUAAAUUGUCAAUAAAGAGUUGAUCGGGUUGUGAAAGAGAUGUAGGUUGAUCUAAAGAUGAACUCCGCAGCAAAGAUAUUCUGCUGUUCCUGCUGAAGGGUCCAUUAACGAUGCCUCAACAUGGGUGUCACGUCCUGACCUUAGUUCCUUUUUUAUGUCUCUGUUUUACUUUGGUCAGGGCGUGGGGUUGGGGUGGGCAUUCUAUGUUUUUGUUCUAGGUUUUGUAUUUCUGUGUUUGGCCUGGUAUGGUUCCCAAUCAGAGGCAGCUGUCGAUUGUUGUCUCUGAUUGAGAACCAUACUUAGGUAGCCUGUUCUCACCUGGUGUUUGUGGGUAGUUAUAUUCUGUUUAGUGUGUGUUGCACCUGACGGAGAUGUUUCGGUUGUUUCUGUUGUUCCUUGUUGUAUUUAGUGUUCAGUUUAUUAAAAUAAUGAGGAACACUUACAUCUUGGUCCUCACCUUCUUCCACCAAAAGUCGUUACAAUGGGACAGGUUCAACCUGGCACUUUAAUAUGUACACACAAAGUCUACGAUACGCUAAAGAUAGCAAGCUCAUAAAGUGGAAUCAACAUUUAACCUUUCAUUUUAGUACUUCAGGGGGAAAAUGUCUUAGUGGAAUUGUUUUUUAUUUUCUAAAAAAUGUCUGCAUCCUGUUGCCAUGCAAUAUUGUGUUCGAUGCUCAUUUGCAUGUUCUGUGAUAUUGUUUUUAAAAAAUGCUUUUCAUUAAAACAUGGGUGUUUGAACCAACAGAAAUCCAGACAAUUGAACAUGAAUAUGCAUGCCAUCUAGACAAUGUCGUGCAGUUUGAUGAAAUUUUCUGAGGCCAUUAAUCUCUACUCCUGUCACAUCGAUAGAAAUACAAGUCAUAUUUGUCAUAUUUGUCAUAUUUGUUUACUGUUGUGCUCACAUCUUACUGUGUGUGUUUAUUUUUUAAUUUUUAAUUUUUUAACUAUCCUUGUGGGUUCCAGAAGUCCUCACAAGGAGGGUAAAACAAGAACAAUUCUGACAAGCGGGGAUAAACCUAACCCCUAAACCUAAAAAUUAUAAUUUAGGUUUAGGGUUCGGGUGAAAAUUAGGGUUAGAAUUAAGGUUAGGGUUAAAAGUUAGAGUCAGGGGUAGGUUUAGAGUCAGGGGUAGGAGUCAGGGG